rnacentral:sRNA from 1 species
GGACGAUUCCUGGGGGACUGACUGUCACAUAACUGGGUGUGGGAUCUGGCAGAGGAGAGUGGGAACGGAUCCUGCUCCCUGGAACAACACAUCGGGGCACCUCUUGGCAUGUUAAUUACAGUGUCAUUAGCAGCUGUAGUAUCGUUUAUGUCUUCCACAGUUCUGAGAAAAAGUACUGCUCUGGCACUGGGUGGCCUUCGUUUUCCGAGGCUCAUGGUACGUCUGGCUCUGAUGAAAGCCACACAGGGAUCCUGAGACGUUUGGACACCUCAUUAGGAUCAGCUCGCACAGAGGUUGUCUGCAAGCAGUGUGAAGCUCAUCUAGGUCACGUGUUUCCUGAUGGACCUGGGCCCAAUGGUCAGAGGUUUUGCAUCAACAGUGUGGCUUUGAAGUUCAAACCAAGGAAACACUGACCAUCUUCAAGAGUCCCGUUCCCUUGCCACC